rnacentral:tRNA from 1 species
GAAAAUGCCUAGAUGGGCCGCCAGGCUCCAUAAACA